UGCCUAAAUAACCUUCAAAGCACAAUAAAUCACUACAAACAUAAAUCGUAUACACAUAAUACACCCCCCGGAAAGUUAACUCUAUGACUGAUUGACUGACUGACUGAUGUGAAUUUUCCCAGUCAUCACAAUAGUGCACAGUUUCAAAGAAACUCUGCACUAAAAAUGGACGAAAAGUAAAGGUUAUAUAUAGCCUUACUAUUUUGCUGUUUUUUGGUCAUUUAUGAAAAAUGGAAAAAGUCGCUAAAAAUAGACGAAAGGUUAAGCUAUAGCCUUACUUUUUUGCUGGUUUUUGGUCAUUUAUGAAAAAUGGAAAAAGUCGCUAAAAUGGACGAAAAGUAAUGGGUAUAGCCUUAUUUUUUUUCUGUUUUUUUUGUCAUUUAUGAAAAAUGGAAAAAGUCGC
rnacentral:lncRNA from 1 species